GCGUUCGCAGACGUGGGGCGGACGCCGGAGUCGUUCUACAAGCUCGUGCACGCCAGGAAGGACAUUGCCAAGCUUCUCUCGCAGCUGGCGGUGUGCGUCACCUCGCUGAAAAACGAGGUUACUGUGGGUAUCGAGAGGUUUGAUCAGUACCACCGUGUGUGGCGGCUAGACAGAGACCUCGAGCUGGAGGCAUUCCUACAGCAGACGCCUAGCCUGGCUGAGUUUGAGCAAAAGAUACGGGAGUGGGCGGAGCUGGAAGCCAGGAUUCAAUCAGAGCCCGAGCACGUUGAUGUUGGACCAAUCGCGCUGUACACAGAGACCCUGAAGCUGGGAACUGACGAAGAACGCGAGCUUG